rnacentral:rRNA from 1 species
GAUGAACGCUGGCGGCGUGCUUAACACAUGCAAGUCGAACGAGAACGGAUUAUAGCUUGCUAUAAUUGUCAGCUAAGUGGCGCACGGGUGAGUAAUGUAUAGGUAAUAUACCUCUUACUAAGGGAUAACAAAUGGAAACGUUUGCUAAUACCUUAUACUCCUUAUUAACAGAAGUUAUUAAGGGAAAGAUUUAUUGGUAAGAGAUUAGCCUGUAUUGUAUCAGUUAGUUGGUGGGGUAAUGGCUUACCAAGACUAUGACACAUAACUGGUUUGAGAGGAUGAUCAGUCACACUGGAACUGAGACACGGUCCAGACUCCUACGGGAGGCAGCAGUGGGGAAUAUUGCACAAUGGACGAAAGUCUGAUGCAGCAACGCCGCGUGGAGGAUGACACAUUUCGGUGCGUAAACUCCUUUUAUAUGAGAAGAUAAUGACGGUAUUAUAUGAAUAAGCACCGGCUAACUCCGUGCCAGCCGCCGCAGUAA